rnacentral:lncRNA from 1 species
UUAGCAAUGUUGUAGCUGAACUGAAUCGAACUAAGGCCAAUUUUCUUGGAAGGCAUAGACUGCUAUCCUAGAAGGUUCUUGCCCUGUAGUGUCCAGACGACUUCAAAGUGAAUGUAAGACAUGAGGAAUGGAGUCUAAAUAUUGUAACUUGAUUGUUUCAAUCAGCAUGAUUCCUAGCUAGCUACUAGCCAGAAGUGUCCCUGAAAGAGAGCACGAAACCUGUGUAAGUGCCUGUUUUGUUCAAAUAACCUGUAAUGUAAUUAUGUGUUAUGCAAAAAUUAAGCACUCUACUUUUACAUGUUGACUUUGACCUAACCUUUUUGUUUUGUUUUUGCUCUAUUAUGAUGAUUGAAGAUUACACAACAUUGCCCUGCUUUAAUAUUUAUCUAUUCAUGCAGAAAUAAACCUAGAUAUCUGUUUGUUUUUAUUUUACAGUCUUGUGAUUUCUAUGGUUCAUAUUGUCUUGGUUUUUUUUUUUUUGUGUUUUUGUGUUUAUUGGGUGUUUAAUGUGUUUUUUAGCUUUAGUUUUGUUUUGGUUUAUUUUCGGGUCAAACCAAGAUUUUUGGUUCAGUUCAUGGUGAAACAAAAAUUUCAGGUCAACCCGAUCGGUAAAAACAAAUCUGGGUCAAAGGGUUUAUACCCUAUUUGAUUUGCUAUUUUUUAAGGUCUUUUUGUUUAAGAGUGUUUUUGACAAACACCCCUUAAGCCUAUUUAGGGUAGUUUUAUUAUAAAAAAGUAGUUUUUUUUCCAAACAAAGCCUUAAAAGUAAUAAGAAAUAUUUUCUUUUUUUUUUGUAUGACCAAAAAUCCUAAAUUUAUUUUAGCAUAAUUUUCAAAGAAAAUUUAAAAUAUUUUGGCAUAUUUUGAAAAAAUAUUGCAUGGAUUUUACAACAAGUUUGUAAAAUUUUAAAGGAUUUUGGCCUAUAUUUAAAAAUUAUUUUUGGCAAAGAGAUAUUAUUUACUUUUAAUAUAAGGAUAAGAAACCUAAAAGGGAUGAAUAUUCAAGAUAUUAUUAGGGAUAAUAAAUAUUAUUCACUUUUAAUAUAAGGAUAAAAUACCUAAAAUGGAUUAACAUUUAUAAUAUUAUCAGGGAUAAUAAUUUUAUUACUCACUUUAAUAUAAGAAUAAAAAACAUGUAUAAGGUUAAUAUCCAAAAUAUUAUUGUGAAUAAUACAACUCAUUCACUUCUAAUAUAAAGAUAAAAUCCAUAGAGAAUUUUAUCUAAAAUAUUAUUUGGAAUGGCGCGGUAGCAAAAUUCUAGUUUUUUCCUAAAAGAAGCCUCAACAAUAAUUGAGGGCAUUUCACUUUCACAGAUCGAGUUCUUGAUCUAGAAAAUUAGAGUUUGUUCAUCAUAGCAGACCCGUCAUAGUUAAGUCGGUAGAGAUAGAUGUCAUAAGACCAUAGCAAACAAAUACAAAAUAAUUCAAUUUAUUUUAAGUAAGGUGUACUAGGGAUGCUAAUAUCUUACCUUUACGCAACCAGUCUCUUGCCUAUCUCUAAAAAACCAGUUAGGGGUCUUAGUAUUUAUAAUAAUAGGUAGUAACUCCUCAACCAAGCCAAAGACAAUUUCAAAAGACACCGCUUGAGAAUUGUUGUUGCAAUGCAUCUCCCCUGUGAAGAGGGUACGCCACUCUUAUCUCAACCCCUUAAUAUUUACUUCUAACAAUAAAGAUCCUCCCACAAAGUGUGUUGAUCUAUAGACUUCUUUCAUAAGGAGUAUUAUUGUUAGGUAUUGAUUAUUUCCAUGAGACCCCAUUGUUAAGAAAAUAAUCAAGGUAAAUAAUAUUGAUUAUUUUCUAAUCAAUAAAAGAAAGAGAUUAAGGAAUUGAGCAACUUUAGGCAAUCAAAAAAUUAUUUCAAUCUUAUAAUCAAAGGAGAUGAUCAAGUAUAUUUUCUAUAAUUUAUUUUAUUUUAUUUCCUUAUGUGUCUUGUUAUAUGGCUAAUAAACUCUACAUGAGUUGAGUAUAAGACAUGUAUCAAAUUAUCAAAUAAUAACAUCCAAUUCUAUUCUAAUUUUUUUCUUGGUAUCAGAGUAGGUCGAUCAUAUAUUACUUUAAAUAUUAGCUUUUGUUUUUUCAAUGGACACCUUUAUGUCGUCUAUUCGACCACUUUAAAGCACUUUGUUUUCAAUCCUCUUCAUUGUCUACCAAAUAUUUUAUUUACUACACAUUUUCAAUGAUAAAUCAACUCAUGAUAAGGAGAAAUAUCAAGAUCAUGUGGAUGGCCAAAUGACACCCAAAGAAUAAUAAAAAGAAAUGGAGGUGUAAGAUGACAAAGCCCAAUAAGAAAAUUGAGAUCCUGCAUCAAGAGAAAGACAAAAAACAAUUGAGUCUUAGUGAAAAUUGAUAAGUUCUUGCACGAGAUAAGGUGAUGCAAAAGAGACCACCCAUACAAAAAAAAAAAAAAAAGAGUUCUUCCUAAAGAAAGGGAUGGAAAAUGGCUUAGGAGUGAUGAUAAAAAGAAGACAUCAAUCUGAUUACGAGUGAACCAAAAUAGAAUGGUCACUUGAAAAGCCAAAUCUUGAAAAGAGAUGUUUGCCUAAAGAAAUAUGGCAACAAUCAUAAGAGAAGAAAAAUGACUAAGAAUAGCCAUGUUUAGAAAAAUACAAUUGUUGAAGAUAAGAAGGUAAAGUUACAAUGAUAAGAGAAGGGUGUAUGUCAAACUCAUGAAAAAUAAAAUUAUCGUAAGUUUGAGGGAGUGUAUUAAUUAGAAAAUAAUCAAGGUAAAUAUUAUUGAUGAUUUUCUAAUCAAUAAAAGGAAGAGAUUAAUGAAUUGAACAACCUUAGACAACGAAGAAAUUAUUUCAAUUAUCUAAUCAAAGGAGAUGAUGAAAUAUAUUUUUUAUAGUUAGUUUUAUUUUAUUUUAUUGUGUCUUGUUAUAUAGCUAUAUAAACUCUAUGAAUAUGUUUUAAAUUUCUUAUCUUAUUAAUGACAAAAAAAAUAAAAUUCUAAGGAUAAUUUGGGUAUACAAUCUUUUGGUUUAGUGUAGAGAGCUAGCAAGUUUGGAAGUAGGGUGGUAGUAAAGAUGGAGAGCCAUACGUAGGUGGUGUGAUAAUGAUUUCCAAGGAGGGGAUAUGUAUUCAAUGGGUAGACUUUAAUUUCCACAAUGAGAAAACAAAGUUGUCUUUUCAACUUGGAAUAUUGCACGCAUCUGCAGUAGUUUAUAUAAACGAGUGUUAGAAAUUUGAAACAUCAACAAUAUUUCAGACCGAUGACACGUUACAAGGUUUGAAAUGACAAUGAAAGAAGGUCAUACACAAACACAAACAUGUGUUGCCAUAAAUCAAAGAAAUGGAUAUUAAGAGGAAAAAAAAAAAAAAACAGAAGUGAAAAUGAAAAGAAAUGAUAUGAAACAAAAUUAGUAUAACACGCUAAUGAGUCCUGUCAAUUGUCAUAUCAGAUGAAUAGUAUGGUUUUGUGUGGACUUUAUUUUGCACAAUGAGAAAAUUCAACGCCGUCCUUUUUAGGGGAAAAAAUUGGGAAACAUCUUCUCGACUUGGAAUAUUGCACCUGCAAGUGGUUAACGUAAAAUGAGUGUUAGAAAUUUGAAACUUGAGGCAUCCUUGCGGUCGUUGUUCAACCACCUCCUCCCAUGUGGAGAACUUUGAAUUUCUUUUCUUCCUCAAUCCAUUCUUCCCAACCCAAUAACUUCAGACAUGCAUUUCACUAUAUACAGAGGGAAGCUCUACACUCCUGCAUCCCUUAAUACAUCAUAUUAAGGGGUAAUACUAUGAAGAUGGAUUUAAUUAGUCUACUCUCAUAUAGUAUUGCUUGGAGUAUCUGAUUAACCAUAAAUAAUUUUGUUUUCAAUAAUAUACAACUUGAUCUGGAUCAGUCAUGUUUCUCUUUAACCCUCUACUGGUUGUCUGCUUGGUACUGAAAAGCAUUUCAAUUACACUAGUAAUGAUCUUUAAAUAGGUACAGAUUGCAUUCGUAUAUAGACUGUUGCUACCUAAUUUUUGACCCAUGUUUUGAUAUAUUUUCAAAAAUCCAAAAAAAUUGAGAAAAACAAAGAAAAUCCAAAAAAUAUGUUUUUUAAUACAUUUUCGUCCUUUUAGCAUUUUCAACGUCGUCUAAAAAAAGAAUUUAAAUUUUUUUAAAAAAAUUUCAAACGCGUUCGACUUUUCACGCGUCAUUUUAAAAAAAAACAUUGAUUUUCCUCGUUGAGUCGACGUUGAUAUUGCUCGUUUUCAAAAAAAUACAAAAAAAUAAGAAAAAUCAAAAUUUACAAAAAGAAAGAAGUUGAGGGACCAAGUUGAAAAACUUGGCAACAUUUUUGCCUAUAAAUACUGGUCUUUAACUCACACAAUAAGGGGGGGGGCAAUUUUGAAAUUAUCAGAAGACAAAAAUACAAAAAAAACCCUAACCCUAAAAUCCAUCUCUACCCAAAGGCAGCAGCCGGCGCCCCCCACUGUUUGAUUUUUUUUCCAGCCAUCUGAACCUCCACCAAAACGGCAGCAACCCGAUCUGACUUUCAGCCUCUCCCCCCAGACACACACAGAGGCCGCCGCCACCAUUUUUUUCAAAAAAAGAAGAAACCAAAGCAUCCAUUUUUCCCUUCCUUUGCUGUUGAAGCCGAUCGAAGCUCCUUCCCUUUGGCAAAGAAAAACGGACAGCCGCCUCCCUAAUCUUGGAAAAGAACUGGGGCUGCUGACUUCUCCUCUGAAAAAUAGAAAAAAAGAACCCCAGAGCAGCCCCCUCACCUUUUGAAUUAUUUUUUUCUCUUCUCACUCAAUCGGAGCAGCCCCCGCCCUUUGGGUUUUUUUUCUUCAGCCGAACGAACCAGCCCCGCGGCUCCUCCCCUCACUCCACAGCCGCCGGUCACCAGACCUCCCUCCCCCUCAGCCGUUCCUUCUUCCCUUGGCCAACAGCCUCAUCACCGUUCCCCCCUAUUUUCCUCUCCUGUCCAGCCCCUGCAUUUACUUCCUUGUUGCAGCCUCCCCACAGCAAACUCCGAUCUGCCUUCAGCCAGCCGCAUACUCAUUUCCUUCAACAGCCGGCCUAUCUUUUUCCUCCGGUUUCCAUCAACGCCGAUCUUCUUCUCAGCCAACAACACAGACGCCUCCAUCACCAGCCAACCACCGCAGCCUUCCCAUCAGCAACGGCUGCUUCUCCUUCGGUUGCCUCUCCCAGCGGCGGCCGAACAGCAGCGCCGCUACCACCGACAGGCUGCCAACCGUUGGCCACAGACGCCCUGACAGCAGAUCCGGUCACCUGAGACAGAGACGAGAGGAGGCAGAGAAACGGAAGGGGCAGAUCUAAAAGAAGAAACCGAAGCAGAUUUCAAAAACAAAGAAAUCUAAAAUCUAAAAUCGACUGUUUGUGGUCCCCUUUUUUGUGUUUCUUGUUGCAGGUAGAGACAAUAUUCACCGCCGGCGAGGAAGAAGGGAGGAUCUCCCCCUGGUGCAUUUUUUUUUUCGGCGGCGCGUGGGCUGGUGGUGCGCGCGUGGAGCAGACGCGCCACCACCAUUCAGCUGCCUAGAAGAUGCUCCCAGCACUGUUCCAGUGGUGCAGAAGGUGUCCCUGUAAAUUCCAGAUUGUUUUAGGGUUGUUAUUGUAAUUUUAAUGUAAUUUUUGUUUAAUGUAAUAUUCUUUUAAGUUUUGAGUUUUUUUUUUGUAAUUUGUUGUUUGUAAGUAUCUAAGGAAGAAAGAAAAAAGAAAAGAAAAGAAAACAAACAAAAAUAAUACAGUGAAUGAAUGUGAGUGUUUGUAUUUGUUUUUAUUUUUUUAAAUAUAUUUUUUAAUGAUAAAAUUGCAGAUAUUAAAGAAGAAUUUAAUAUUUUGAUUGGAUCACGGUUAAGAAUUUAAAAUCGCGAAGCAGCUUACCUCAGGUAGGGUGCGUUAGGGGUGCUAAUACCUUCCCUAACCACAACCAGUCCCUUACCCGCGAAUCUCUGACAAGACCAGUACAUCCGGUUUCCUAGUAGCCCGUAAUCAAUUACUAGGUGGCGACUCCAACAAACCAAAUUCAAACACGACACGACAACGAUAAAAAUCGCCAGCCGAUGCCGCGCGCUGAUUUUUUUUGGGGUGCGACAUAGACAAAUAGCAAAAGACAUAUGAUUGUGAGUGUCGUGAUAUUGGAAUAACUUUUACAGACUUUUUCCUCAAGAUAAUACUUUUCUGUUUAUUAAUAAUUUUUAAAAAAUAAAAAAAUAAUAUUUUGAUGCAUUUUUCUAAAUUAAAAACAUUUUCAACCAUCAACAUACACUACCACAAUCCUAAACAAACUCAUAAUCAUAUAUAAUAACUUCAAAUUUUAUGUCAGGUAAAAUAUUAUCCUAGUUAUUGUGUGUCAAAACAUUAAUACAAUUCAAGAAUUUAAAUGUUAAAAUAUUAUUAAAAAUGAAAUAUUAUUGGAAUAUUUAAUGGAUAAAUUAAAAAUGAAAUAAUUCAUAAUUUACUAAUCACAUAAUUAUGUUUUCAAAUUUAAUGAUUUGUUUUAGCUAGUCCAUGAUAUUCGAUGGUGAACAAGGUUAGAAUUAAAUUUUAAGAAUAGUUCUAGUGUUAAAAGAAGUUGGCUCUCUCCUUAACCUUUUUGAGUAUGAGCAAUGAGUCAAUAUCUAAAAAAAAAUUAUUCUUCUAAAUAGACUAAGUUUUUUUUUUUUUAAAGCUAGUAGAGUAAAUAAGACUUAAAGAGCACCUUCAACAAUGUUGUUUCUUAUUUUUUAGAGCUUCACAUAAACAAAAAUUAAUAAUAGAAAAAGAAAAAAUAGUAAAAAUAAAAAAAUGUUGAAAACAAUAAUAAAAAGAAUAUACUAGAAUACCUAAAAAAUUUUAAAGAUUGGUUUAGGAAGAUUAAAUAUACAAGAUUUGUUAUUGUAUUUUCGGUUGAUGAAGAUUUUAUUAGUAAUGAAAAUUUAAUUUGAUAAGAAAAAUUUAAAAUUAGAUGUUUAAGGAUUUAAUUAAAAAAAUUUAUAGUUUAUUUAAAUUUAAUGAGAGUUUAAUUAUAAGAAAAAAUAAUUUUUCUAAUGAGAAAAUAAUGUUGUCUUUUCAACUUAAAAUAUUGCAUGCAUCUGCAGUAGUUUAUAUAAACGAGGGUUAAAAAUUUGAAACAUCAACAAUAUUUCAGACCGAUGACACGUUACAAGGUUUGAAAUGACAAUGAAAGAAGGUCAUACACAAACACAAACAUGUGUUGCCAUAAAUCAAAGAAAUGGAUCUUAAGGAAAAACAAAAAAAACAGAAGUGAAAAUGAAAAUAAAUGAUAUGAAACAAAAUUAGUCUAGCACGCUAAUGAGUCCUGUCAAUUGUCAUAUCAGACGAAUAGUAUGGUUUUGUGUGGACUUCAUUUUUCACAAUGAGAAAAUUCACCGUCGUCUUUUUUAGGGGGUUAAAACUAGGAAACAUCUUCUCGACUAAAAUGGUGGAGCCAAUGAUGAUUGAAUUGAAGAAGAAAAGAAAAUUUUAAUUAAGUAUCAAAACACAAAAAUAUAAUGCAAUUUUUUAUCAUGUGAUAUUUAUGUAUACAAAAAUAUUUAUUUUAUAAUUCAUUUGUAAAUUGUUGUUAUUGUGUUAAACAUGCUACUUUUAAUUUUAGUAUUUGCUGGGAGGUUAGACAUUAAAACAAACACAACCUAUUAUUCACAUGCACAUCAUCGAUGGAAACACAGACAGUUUCUUUUCCUUCAGUGUUUUCCAAAUAAGAACUGUUCACACACCGAAUAGGUGAAUAGUUCCCAAAUCUCCGAUAGAAAUACCAAUAGUUUUGGUUUGCUGGUGUUUUUCAAAGGCAAUGGGAACUGUUCACAUCCUAAAUAGGUGAACAAUUCUCAUAUCCCUGAUGGACAUACCGACAGUUUUGGUCCCUUGGUGUUUUACAGAGGUGAUGAAAACUGUUCACACUCCAAAUAGGUAACAAGUUCUCACAUUCCCGAUGGAAAUACUGACAAACCAAAACCAUUGAUGUUUUCCAGAGGUGAUGAGAACUGUUCACUUUCCAUGUUGGUGAUGUCAAUUAAAGUGCUUUUAUUUACCAACAGACUACAAAUUCUAAAAUGCAUGUAAUUAAUGUAUCUCUAACCGUGUGUACUAUUUCAUAUUAACAAGGGAAUUACCUAUAAACAAUGAAAAUUCUUAUAGGGUUUUUUUUAAAAUUUGUGUGAAAUGAAAAUUUUAAAGUGAAUUUAUCGAGGGAAUCGCCAACAGAUUAAUUAAAAAUAAUAUUAUUUAAUAUUCCAGCAAGAGACCCUUGAGUUCAUUUUUUUCUCUCCUUCGUCUUUAUCCGUUUUGCAAUCUCAAAUCUUUCUAUUUUUUCCCCUCUCAAUCUCUAUUUAUAGUUCUAUCUUCAUCAUCAAAAUUUAAAAGCUAUAUAUGUAUUAUGAUUCAAUUUACUUAAUGAUUUUCUAUUUUUUCUAUUUUCUUGGUUUUAUUAACAAUAUAUAUAUAUAUAUAUAAACAUUCUAUUAAGGUAAGCAUUUUUCAUUCCUAAAGUUUAUGGGUUUUUUUUAAUUUGUUGCCUAUUUUAUUGUUUUUAUUACAAUAAUAAUUGAUUGUUUUGUUGUAUUUUAUUUGUUAUUCUUGAAUUUGACAUUAAUUAAUGUUAAUUGAAUAUAUAGGAUUAAAUUUAAUUGCUUUAUCUCAAUUUUAUUGUAUAUAUUGAAUAAUAGAGUGUUUGAUUGUUUUUGUUGAAUUUUAAUUGUUAUUUUUUUAAUUUUUAUAAAUGUUAGGUUACAUGUAGGAUUUUCUUUUCUCUAUUUUAUUGUUAAAGUUAUAUAUAUUAUAGCUUAUAUGUAGGAAUUGUUUUUCUCUAUUUUAUUGUUAAAGUUGUAUAUAUGCUAGCUUAUAUGUAGGAUUUUUUUCUCUAUUUUAUUAUUAGAAGCAUUAUAUUAUCACGUUGAAAAGGAGAUGAAAUUGAAUAAUCUGGAAUUUCUGGUAUAAAUAAAUUAAAAUCAAUUGGUUUGUGGCAUCUGUCUUAUUAAUAUUUGUAAGUUUGAAUAAUUUAGAUAGUCUCCAAUAUAGAAAAAGUGCUGUGAAUUUUUUUUUAAGAAAAUGAUAUUUGAUUAUUUAAUGAUUCAUCAAAUUUGUGUAGAUAUGCAUAACAAAAUUAACAGCAUGUCAUAAGCACUUGGUUGCAACUAAUUAUUCUAGUAAUGAUGAUGACGUGUUAUUAGGUGCCAAGCAAAAAGAGGCACCUGCGGCAACUCACGAAGUUGCCUAGUUGUUGAUGGAAUACUAUUUAUGCAUAGUACAAAUUUGAGUGGGAUAGCAUGAGUUACAAUUAAUCGUGCUAUAGAAUCCGUUCAUGGAUGUAGGUUGUGUGACUUUUAGUAUGAAGCACAAAAAAAAAACAAAAACAUACGUCAAAGAUAAUGGUCUAUAAAGCUGGAAUGACGUGGUGAUUUGGAGGGAUUUUAAACUGCCAUACAUUCCGGAGAAUAUAUGAGUGCAAUAUAUCCAGCACGUGAUAUUUGAGUGAUUUACAUGACGUUUACAGUCUAGUGUCGAGAAUCGAAACCGGCAAAUUCACGGUUUGGUUACCACAAAAAAUAAAAAAAACAUUACUAUAAAAAUUAUCUAUUCAAAUUGUUUAUCGAGGUAGUCUAAUGAUAUGGAUUAAUAUUUUAUUAUAUUCUUUUUGCUUUUUAUACUAUAAGUUUUUUUUUGUAGUUAGCUUGUCAAUUUUUUAAUGGCACUAGCUCAAUUUUAAUAAUGUUCUCCCUCAAUUACUAAAAAAAAACCAUAAAACUAGCUAGUUUUUUUUAUUAAAAAAAAAGUGGUAAGUGAAGAAACUUCAGUAAGAGAAUCACACUGACAAAACAAAGCAAGGUGAAGAACGAGUAGAAAUACCAACAGCUAGGGAAAAUAACAAGCCACAAAAACAAGAAACAUUUCCAAACUACUUACCAAAACCAGAAAUGCUUACCAUGCCUCUAACCAUGGAUAAAAAAGCGACACACUAUAUAUAUGUAGCCAUGCCUUCGAAGCUACUAUAUUUGGAAAACGGUUAAUACUCCUCCGUGAUCAUUUGAUAAGAUCAAACCACACCCUCUCCUCCUGCCUCAAAUCAUGGAGCGCUCGGUAUCGGCCCGGGUACACCGCCUGUGCAAGUCUCAUAAUCGCAUUCAAGUGCUGGAGACCUCGCAAUCACUAUCAGGUUGGAACAUGAUACAAAAACAAUGAUAACAAGGAGUAUUAUUGUCAAGUAUCGGUUAUUUCCUCGAGACCCCAUUUAUGAAAUGAAAAGGAAAAAGCUGGAACUUCUUUAGGGAACGUAUAAAAGGCGUAGAGAGCUAGCUAGUUUGCAAGAGUAGGGGCAAAGAUGGCGAGGGUAGCUAGGUGGUGUGAUAUACACACACAAAAAAGAAAAAAAGAAAAAAAGAAAUAUGUCCCUUCAUUUUCAUGGAUUCACAUCAUUGCCGGGUCUAGUUUACUUUUCCACCAUAGCUCAUUGCGGGGUCUAGUCUAGUUUACUUUUCCACCAUAGGUUUGCUCAUUGCGGGGUCUAGUUUACUUUUCCGUAUAAUCCUCUUAUCAAAAGCCCUUAACAUUUACAAAAUAAUCAUAAUAAAAAAUCCUCCAACUAUAAUUAAGAUUAAAAAUAUUACAUAAAUAUAAAAAACCUAGCUAAUACUAGUUAAUAAGGAAAGUAAAUAAAAUCAAAUCAAGUCUAUGAUACAUAAAAAAACUACAUAGAUAUAACAUCUCCAUAAAUGUUUCAAUUAAUAUCCUAGAUAUUUAUAUUUAAUCUCAUAAAUUAAAUAUUUAUGACAUAUUUAUAAAAGAUAUUUAUAUUAAAUAUCUUAAAUAUCUUAAGAAAAUUUAUAUAAACAUAAUAUUAUUAUUUUUUACAGUGGAGGUUUGUUUGAGCUUAUCUCUUUAAAUUUUAUCUUUUUAGAUAACAUAAAUUUAAAAAAACACAAAUAUAAUAUAAAACUUAAAUAAAAUAUAAAAAAAACAUUUAAAUUUAAAGAAUAAUUAUUCUCACACAUGAACAAAUAUUAUAUUAACCUGAAUCAUUCAUAGUAUAUAUAUAUUUUUUUAUAGGUUUCACUAAGCCCAUCAAAUCUUUCAGGUCAAAUUCCCAGCAUCAUCAAAGUACUGCAAUUAUUACCGAGUACAUAAAAAAACACCUGCAUAAUUAAAUUAAAUAAAAUUAACUAAACCUACAAGAUCUUGACAAACAAAUGAAGAUUAUCAUUGAAACAAUCAAGCAACAAAUCAUGAGAUUUGCCUCCCGCAUUACUAUCUGUGUAGAAAACGUCUACAGGAGGCUGUCCCUUCAUUUUCAUGGAAACUCAUGAACAUUUUCUGGGACGAGUCAAACCCUGUAAAUAUUAUGAAGUUGUAAUUAUUUUUUAAAAUAUUUUUAAUUUAAAAAUAUAUUAAAAUAAUAUUUUUAUAUUUUUAAAAAUUAUUUUUAACAUUAAUAUAUUAAAAUAAUUUAAAAAUAUUUUAAAAAUAAUUAAUUUAAAAUAAAAAAUAUAAAACAAUUAAUUUUUUUAAAAAAUAUUUUUCAAUCACGAAAACAAGUAGUCAGGCCAAGUCCAACUUACUUUUCCACUUAAUGUUUACUCAUGAACCAGUACAACACUCAAAUUAGUCCCUCUAUUGUCAUAUUUCGAACGAGACAAAUCAUUCAUCGGCGCAGGCAACUUUGAAUAUUGCAUGCAUAUAGGCAAGUGGUUGAUGUAACAUAAAUGUUGGAAAUUUGAUACAUUGAAAGGAUAAUAUUCCAAGACAAGGUUGUAAAAUACACUUUUUUUAUAUAAGAUAUAUAAUAUAUAAUAAAAACUUUGAUUGGAAACUUAAAUCAUAAAAUUAUAAAUAAAAUAUUUUAACUAAUUAUAUAUUAAUAAUUCCAGUCAAGUAGUAAAUAAUUAUAUAUCACAAUUAAAAUAAAAGUGAAAUAAAUAAUAAAAAAGUCCAAACACUUUAAAAUAUAUGCUUCAAAUAAAAAUUCAUAUAUGCUUUAAAUAACUUAAAAACACAAUACAAUACAAUUAUGUCUAUAGAGUUUUAUUAACUAAAAAUUAAUAAACCUAAAACAAACAAUCUAUUGGAGUGUCAUAUAAACUAAAACUAGUCUCAUUGUCUUUAUCUUUCUUAUUAUUCCUAAAACAUUCAUCAAAAUAAUUGCCAUCUAGAGAAUUAUUCCUAAAACUCGUGACUCUGCUUCACUGGAGGAUCGAGCAAUAAUGCGUUACUUGCCAGAUUUCCAUGAAAUGGGAGUGGUGCCAAGAAAUACAAUAUAUUGAAUUUUUGAUCAUCAAUACUACUGCCCCAAUCAACAUCAAUAAAACCAUGAAGAGACAAAGCAGAGUCACGAGUAAGGUGGAGAUCAAAGGAAGAUGUACCUUUUAAUUAUCGUAGGAUACCCUUAACAGCAGCCCAAUGGCCUUCAGUAGGAGCAUGCAUAAACUGACAUACCCUGUUCACAGUAUAACAGAUAUCUGGUCGAGUAAAGGUGAGAUACUAAAGAGUACCAAUAAAGAGUUGGGGUUUACACGAACUUAAAAAUUGACUCAAGUCAUAAGGCAAGCCGCUAGUCCCUCACUUAACAUAAAGUUUAAUAUGUGCACUCAAAAGGACAAUAAUAAUAAAAGUGAUGCAUGAUAUAAUGCAAUAAGAUCUUAUCCAUACCUAAUAUACGUUGUAUGACAUGAUGUAAAGAUGCAUGCUAAAGUUUUAAACAAAGUAUCAUUCAUAGCAAACAAACAAAAAUCAACAAAAAAAUUACCAAGCCUAGUCUAAGGGUCCCUAGUGGAGUCGUCAUCCUAUCGCACCCUUGCAGCGGAGCGAUAACCCUCGAUUGAUUUCGAGUUUUUGUUUUUUAUGAAUAAGGAGUCGCUACCUAGUAUAUUGGUCACUAGGAAACCUAACUAGUCUUUCAUAUAUUCUAAGGCAGGGGACUGGUUGCGUAAAGGGAAGGUAUUAUCAUCCCUGGUACGCUCUAUCUAAGGUAAGCUACUUGAUGUUUGGUUUGCCUUAUAAUUGCCAUGGUGUUGGUGUUUUCUAAUCCCAUCAGUUUUUCUAGGUUUGAUUCAUACUAAAUUUAUUAAGAUAGAAAUCCAAUGAGAUUCCAUGUGCUUUAAAAGCUUAUUUUCCCCUUAGUAUUUAAAGAGUUUGCGACUCGUAAAUUGCAUGGAGGAGGAAUAAAAAAAUUUAGAAAUCUAAGAAAAUUUAGAGCGUUUUAAAAGCCUAUUUUUGCCUUAGUGUUUCAUACUCUCACUUCUCGUAAACCGUGGAGUAAAAAAAUUGAAAUGUCCUCGAUUAUAAUCAAAGCUUCUUUUAAGGUUGUGUGAUGACUUAUUAUUCCUAGAAAAUUAUUUUGGAUAUUUACCACAUAGGGUUUCUUUAUCCAAAUAUUAACAGUGAAUCAUAACAAAUUAUUCCCAAUAAUAUUUUGGAUACUCAUCCAUUUAGGAUUUCUUUAUCCAAACAUUAACGGUAAAUAAUAGAUGGAUUCCACACCCAAAAUAAGAUUUGUCUAUUUUUUGAAACAUUAGCCAAUACCCUUCAGAGUUCUACAAACAUGUUGUAAAAUCCAGAAAUACAAGAAAAUAAUUUUUAUUGUGUUUAAGAAAUCCAUGCGAAAACACAUUUUCAAAAUUUCCAAAAAAAAAUUUAUAUAAAAAAUACUUUCAAAACAUGUUAGGGUAUUGGCUGUAUGCAACACAUAAAAAUAUUUUUUAUAUUUUCUAUGUAAAAACACAAACAUUACAUUUAAUCACAAUUAAAGUAAAAAAAACGUAUGUAGAAACAUGUUAUUACAUUUUCACGGGAAAUACAACAUGAUUUUAUUUGUCAUUCAGAUGCUUGACCAUAUAAAAAUUAAAACAUUAAAUUCAUUUUUUUUUGUCUUUUUGAUUUUAUAAUUCAAUAACAUAUUAAAAAACAAAAUACAAACACACACACCCCUCACUUUUUACUAUGUUUACUCACACCCAUAAUUACAUGUUUACAAAAUAUCUAAAUUCAAAAUAAACCAAACAAAACAUUAAACAAUUUAAAAUUUACAAAUGAACCCAAAACAGUCCUAGAAUUGUAAAGAAGGCAUUCUAGAGUUUGAGGAACAGUGGUGGCGAGUCUUCUCCAUGCGUGGCCGCCACUAGCGGCACGUAAGUUCAGGCGCCGCCGCAAGAAAUAACAGGGGACGGGGGGAUUUGGCUUGGCUUCCUCUUUUCUUCUCUUUCUCACCAACAGUGACCUGCAAAAUAAAAAAAACGCAGCAAUCAAAUCUAUUCUCGAUCUUCUUUCUUUUUAGAUUUGUUUCAAAGCAUAUUGUUUUUUAGUUUCACCUUCUUCUCCUUUGCUUCAGGUGGUUGGUGGCAAGGAGGAGGGACAGACGAGAGAGGGGUGUCGUUGUUGGAAGAGCGGGGAGUGACUACCCUCAGAAACCCGCUGGAACGGACAUAUUGCCGACCCUUCUUUCUUCUUUGGUUAGCGAUGAGGCAAGCAAAGGUUUGUUGUUGAGAGGGAAAUGGGGACCCCUCUGCCCGUUUUCUUUCAGCCUUGACAAGUUGACCUAAGAUAAGGACUGAAAAGGAGCGGUUGAGAUAGGAGAAAUGAAGUGAAAUGGUGAUGGGAAGGGAGGUCUUGGCUGAGAGAGGGAGAUUCUGAUAAGGGCAAGACACGGGGCUGUGAGUGGGAAACGUAGGAAGGAGAAAGAUGAGUUGGUUGUCUGUGGGGAGAUAGUUGAGAGACGGAAAAGUCUGAUAUGGGGGAGCGACUUCUCUUAGCUAGGAGAGUAGGAGCAGGAAGGUGGGUGUUGUGGUCGAGAGAUUGUUUGUAAGGAGGAUGAGGUCAGGUCAUGGCUGAGUGUGGAAGAGGGCUAUGAGGCUUGUGACUUAGGAGGAGAAUGAAUGGAUUAAGGUUUUUUAGUUUUUUUUUUGGUAGUUUAAGGUUUCUAUCUCUUUUUCAAAAUUUACCUCCACGUAAAUUCCCCCCAGUGCAUAUGGUUGGAGGUUCGCUUAUAUAGAAAAUCUUUACACAUGCUAUUUAAGGAAAUAUUCUGAUAAUUAUUACAGAGAUUGUCUUUUAUAACCAGAACCAAUAAAUCCUAUAUAUAUGGUAUUUUAUAUUGCAGUGAUUAUUUUCCAUAACCAGCACGAAUCAAAUCAUAUAUCUAUGGUAUUUUAUAUUGCAGUAAUUAUAUAUGAUUCAGUAAUCAUCUCCUUGACAUAUUGCUUAAUAUUAGCUCUGAUACUCUAUGUUAUUGCCACAUGUAAACCCUUUUUAUUUUUAUUUUUAUAUUGAAAAAUUAUCAAAACAUGGGUAAAAAAUUAGGUAGCAACACCUGGGAACGGGUUGAUAUGUAUCCUCAAUGGUGGGAUUAUCCAGCAUAUUCUAGGUAGAAGACUGCGGUUGAUGGUGCGGGCAAGUCAAUCAUCGCAAUGUCUUCCUCAUCGAGGUUCGCAACUUUUAUAUCAAUGUCACUCAAUUCAAUCAUCUCAGCAUCUACCUUAUUGUGGUUUACAGCUUCUGUGUCACCAACAUAAUCCUUAUAAAGGUCAUUGUCCAAUGAUAAAUUCCUCUCGUUUGGAAUAGUUUGAGUAUUAGUGAAUAAAGUAGCAUUGUGCUUGCUGCUACUUGUCGCACGUCACUUGCGCGGUGAUUCGAUUGUGAUUUUUCAUUCAUUUGCUUGAUUUGGGGUCUUGGGAGUCGCCACCUAGUAUUUAAUUGAAUAAAUCUAAAACUUAUCAAGAGAAAAACCUUGGUCUCAAGUAAACGUCCACCUAUGUAAAUAAAAAACUAAUCAUUAAAAUGAUAUGUCAAAUUAUAUUAUGAAUAUUUAUCUUUUCUUAACAUGGCUAGUUAACCGAUCCGUAGUUUGACUAACCCUAACCAUUAAACAACUAUAAUGUGCAGUACAUGUUUAAUUUGAUCGAAUAUUUUCUCUAAAAUUAAUAACAUAAAUCUACCACAAUUAUUAAACUAAGUUGCUUCACAAGUUUAUAUAUCACAACAUCCGGUUUUGAUAGCAAACUUAGCAAUAGAUUGGUUAGAAUAAUAACUUAGAAUCCACUCUAGUAAUCAAACUAAACAAUCAUAGGAAAUAAGCAUAGGAAAACAAAAAUAUUUGUCAUAUAAAUUAAAAAUAAAAGGUAAAAUAGAUCUCACAGUUCUAGAAAUCUGAAGAUUUCUAUGUCCUUGCAACCAAGAAAAAGCAUUUAGCCUUGUAUGUCUAUUGAGAAAAUAAUCAAGAGAAAAGAUGAAAACAUGAUUUCAGGUAUAGGGAGGAAAGGGUUGAAUUUUUCUUCUCUUUGGCUGCUACUCCUUUCUUUUUAUUUGAUAGGAAAUCAUAAUCCCUCUUUCCUACAAAAUAGUCAUUUUCUAAGUAGACAAUUUACAUUUAAAUAGUGCAAUAAAUAUUUUUGUAAAAAAAAAAAUAGUAUUGCAUAAAAUCUUCAAGUUUUAACUUUUAACUUAGAAGAGUUAAAUAGCCCAAAUAAAGACUUGGAUGUUAGUUUGGAUGCUUGAGAAGUAAAUUGAACUUGUUUCUUCACAAAACCUAUCUACUAAUAGAAUUUAUGAGCUUAGCAACUAUAUGAGGCGUUUAAGCAUAAGAGAAUUGCUAAUCAUAAGCAUAAUAUCAUCAAUAUAGAUCAAAAGAUAACAAAUAUCAGUACCAAUAGAAAAGAUAAAUACUAAGGUAUCAAUCUUGAAGGAACAAAAACUAAUUAAUAGCAGAAAUUCAUUUAGACGAGUAUACCAAGCCCGCAAAACCUGUUUUAAACUAUAUAAAGACUUAUGCAAUCUACACACAUGAAAGGGGAGAGCAAAAUCAACAAAACCUGGAAGUUAUUUCAUGUAGAUCUCUUUGUCAAAGAUUCCAUUAAGAAAUGCAUUAUGGAUAUAUCAAACUGAUAGAGUUUCCAAUCACAUGAAACUGCAAUGGAAAAGACUAAUCUAACGGUUGCUUAGUUGAUAACAAGACUAAAUGUUUUAAAGUAAUCAAUAUUUUCUUGUUGAGUGAAACCUCUAGCAACUAGGCGCGUCUUAUAUCUUUUAAUGCUUCCAUCAACUCUGUGUUUAAUUUUAUAUACCUACUAACUACUAAUAACAUUUAUCGAAGAAUGAAAAAGCACCAAAUGUAAACCAAUAAGAAAAUUGUUUGUAAAUAAAAGAGAGUGUUAAAGGAAGUAUCAUACAUCUAAUAAAUUAAAAAAACAAAACAAUAUAUUUAAAAGAUCGAUUGGAUAGCAAAUUACAAAGCAUAAUGAAAAAGAGGAAAGCGGUAAUUAGAAACUAGGAUGGAAACUACUUUGGAAAUAACCAAAAAAAAAAAACAUUAUUGGGAUAGAUGGUUGAUUUGCCCGUUGUGGAAUUUGUAAAUCCUUUCUCAUAUAAUUAAUUUAUGAGUUGAUCUUGUCUUGGAAAAUGAAUGAUGAUACGUAUACUUCAUGAACAUGCGAGUCUUGACUUGGAAAAUGAAUUAUUAUGGGUGAUAAAUUCGUGGAAAUGAAAUAUGUCCCUUCAUUUUCAUGGAUUCACAUCAUUGCGGGGUCUAGCUUACUUUUCAACCACAGGUUUGCUCAUGAACCAGCUAAUUCGAAGGAGCCAGAUUAUUCAGCGACGUGGACUUAAAAUCUGAAUAUAGCAUGCAUAUGCAAGUGGUUGAUGUUACAUUUUGAGAAUGAAACGUUCAUCAUAAAACUUCAAGUUUUUUAAGAGUGAUCUAAAUUUAAUUCUUUUUUAAGACAUGAAGGCCACCGUAACUUCUGGACUCACCAACUGUCUUUUUUAUCUUCUAUCUCACCUAAUAAAUCUUCCUCUCUCACUACUGCUUUAUUCACAUCCAUUCCUGCCUCUAUGAUUUCUUGGACAAAUGCUACUGUGUCAUCUUAAGCAUCUCAUCUUCCCUGGAAUUGCUGUCUUUGCAUAAAUGAUACUAUUUCUUAAAAAACUAUUUUCUUGACGUCGUGACAUCAAUAUAUAUGCACUUGAAAUCUAAUUUCAACAAAUUAGCCUUAAGGGCACACACUCAAUAAGUGAUUAUUUUCAAUAUGUGAAGUCUAUCAUUGAUUCUCUUGAAGCAAUUGAAUGUUCUUUUUUAUAGGAGGACAUAAUAACUCAAAUUUUGCAUAUAUGCAAGUGGUUGAUGUAACAUGAGUGUUGGAAAUUUGACACAUGAAAAGGAUAAUAUUCCAAGACGGACGUCAUGUUACAAUUAAGAACAAAACUUUAAACGAGGGCCAUUCUGACCCAACAAUUCAUAAAAUAUCUUAAAAUAUAAUAUCACUCGAUAACAUAAAAGACAAUGAUUGUAAACAGAGGAGAGUGUUAGAAAAACUAUCAUUCAUCUAAUAAAUAUAAAAUAUCUAAAAAUUAUAAAAAAUUAAGUAAAAAUUGACUAAAUAUAUUUAAGAGACUGAGCCUAAACUCUAAAUCUUAAACCCUAGACUUAAAAUCAAUGUGGAGAUCAAAUGUUGGUUGAUGAAUGUGAAAGAGGUUCUCACUGAGUCUGAAAGCAUCUUAAGGAUGUAAGGAAUAUUCCUUACUUUCCUAUUUAAUGUUUGAUCCAUAGAGCAUCACAGCAACCAUUUGAUCUCAACUUAAAUCUGUAAGACCCAAUUGAAACUGAAGCUUCCAAGCAUGAGUUCAUUCAUAUUGUGGUUUCUUUCUUUUCAAAUAAUUCAACACUCUUUCUCCUUCUCAUUAGCUAGAGGAGGAAGCGAGAUUGACAAACUCUCUCUACUAGCUUUCAAGGCUCAAAUUUCAGACCCCCCUACAAAACUAAGCUCGUGGAAUGAAUCCUUACACUUGAAUCUCUCAUUUAAUGACCUUGAAGGUGAGGUGCCCAUGCACGGUGUCUUUGAGAAUACAAGUGCGGUUUCAGUUUCAGGGAACAAGAAUCUUUGUGGAGGAAUUCUUCAGUUGAAUCUGCCCACUUGCAGAUCCAAGUCAACAAAGCUGGGAUUGAUAGUCGCUAUUCCUUGUGGCUUUAUUGGAUUAGUCCUCAUCACAUCUUUUUUAUUUUUGUGCUGCUUGAAAAAAUCGUUGAGAAAAACAAAAAACGAGCUGUCAUGUGAAAUGCCAUUCCGAACAGUAGCUUACAGAGACCUCUCUCAAGCAACUAAUGGAUUCUCUUCGGGCAAUUUAGUUGGUGCUGGUAGUUUUGGGUCUGUGUAUAAAGGAGUACUUGCAUUUGAUGGAGUUGUUGUUGCGGUGAAAGUAUUCAACUUGCUACGCGAAGGAGCUUCCAAAAGCUUCAUGAGAGAAUGUGCAGCCUUGCUAAACAUCAGGCACCGGAAUCUUGUCAAAGUAUUAUAUGCAUAUGCUGGCGUUGAUAUUCAAGGUGAUGUUUUUAAAGCUCUUGUUUAUGAGUUCAUGAUCAAUGGAAGCCUAGAAGAAUGGUUGCAUCCAAACCAAACAACGGAUCAGGAAAUGGACGGGCCAAGAAAUCUUAAUCUCAUUCACAUGUUAAACAUUGCAAUUGAUGUGGCUAAUGCGCUCGACUAUUUGCACAACCAAUGCCAAAUGCCUAUUGUUCAUUGUGAUCUGAAGCCAAGUAAUGUUCUUCUCGAUGGAGAUAUGACUGCUCAUGUUGGGGACUUUGGAUUGUUAAAGUUCCUUUCUGAAGCAUCCUGUCAGUCAUCUUCGAGUCAGACAAGCUCUGUCGGAUUAAAAGGCACCGUCGGCUAUGCAGCUCCUGGUAACACUCAACUCUAGAGGGAUACAUAUUCCAUUAUUUACAAGUUUUCUCUAGCAUUUUAUCUCCAAGUUCAUAAGCAACUCUGAUUAAUUAACCAUUCAAACAAACUGACUGCAGAGUAUGGCAUCGGAAGCGGGGUGUCAACUUUCGGGGAUGUAUACAGCUAUGGCAUCCUACUGCUGGAGAUGAUUACUGGGAAGAGACCUACAGAUAGCAUGUUUAAAGAUGGACUAGAACUUCACAGUUAUGUUAAAAUGGCAUUACCUGACCGUGUAGUUGAUGUCGCGGACCCGAAACUUCUGACAGAAGUUGAUCAGGGAAAAGGCACUGAUCAAAUCGUGGAGUGUUUGAUUUCAAUCAGCAAGAUAGGAGUGUUUUGCUCAGAAAAGUUUCCUAAAGAGAGAAUGGACAUUAGCAAUGUUGUAGCUGAACUGAAUCGAACUAAGGCCAAUUUUCUUGGAAGGCAUAGACUGCUAUCCAAGAAGGUUCUUGCCCUGUAGUGUCCAGACGACUUCAAAGUGAAUGUAAGACAUGAGGAAUGGAGUCUAAAUAUUGUAACUUUCUUAUUUCCAUCAGCAUGAGUCCUAGCUAGCUACUAGUCAGAAAGUGUCCCUGAAAGAGAGCACGAAACCUGUAGUGUAAGUGCCUGUUUUUUUUCAAAUAACCUGUAAUGUAAUUAAGUGUUGUGCAAAAAUUAAGC